CUUCACCGAGCCGAGCCAGAGGGGACGGUCCGCGGGGCGCCCCUGCCCGUACGUAGCCAGGAGGGCCUGGGCCUC
rnacentral:antisense_RNA from 1 species